GUUCUCAUUUUCAUUGGGACUCAUUUAUAAAUAAAUACCUAAACCUUGGCUUGCAAUGCCAAGUGCCUAUAGGUGUGUGUGUUGUGGGGGGGGGUUCUGAAUGGUUACUUAUAAUUAUGCUGGGGAAUCUAUGUAAGGCUCUGCAGACUGAUUUUCAGAAAGGCAGAGAGUCUCCAAUAAUUUAUUUCUCUUAGAAGGUGAGACUUACCCAGAGAGGGAAUUAACCUAGCUAAUAAGGAUAAAUGGUAAAUGAUGGAGAUAAUUCAACACUCCCACUAACAGUGGUUCUUUCCGUGAUUAAAACUCAAUCAGGUUAUAUCUUCCAAAAAAGAACUGAUACAUAUGUUUACAUGAGACAGUAAGUUGUGUUCUGUUCUAAGGAUUUCCAUGACAGCCUCUUUUUCUGAGAGGAGAGAGAGAGAUUGGAGGUAAUCCUGCCACUCAAUGUGGAAUCAAGCUCUGGUUCUUGGUAGCUAAAGAAGCCAUGUACUGUAUAGUGUUUUUCUCAGCGUAUCAACUUGCGUUCUUCAAAUGCUUUUCAUUUUUUAAUGGUGAGGGAAAAGGUAUAAUUUGGGAUUCCACAGUGCCUUGCAUAUAGUAGGCGCCCAAUAAAUAUUUGUUGAAGCAAACCAAGUUUCUCAAGUCCUUGUCUCUUGCAAUUACCAAGAACAUCUUUCUUCUGAAGGGCUUGGCAGUUGUGGUUAAAAAACACACAGUAUCAUUAUUUGCUUGAAAUCAUAUAUACAGUUUGUAUGAAUUUCGGUAUGUUGCCAAGACAUGAUCUUUUUCUUAUUGUAAUUUCUGUAAAUAUUUCGAGCAUUGAACUGUAAAGGCAAAAUGUAAAUAGGAAGGUGUCCUGUGUCCCCCUCGCCGCCUGUGUUUUCCUGUCGGUUAGGGAAGAAGGCCCAGAGGUUUGUUUGUAUUUAUGCCGACCCUUUGUCCAGAAGAAAACCAUGGAAUAUUGAAUGUAAUACAUUUAGUCAAUUAAAUUUUAAGGAGAUUCUUAUCUAA